CUCAGCCAAUGACGAUGAGAGUGGGCGGGAAGGACUCAUCUCCCCGCCUCCCUGCUGGUGGCCCCUGCGUCUCCCAAAUGAACUUUCUGUGAGCCAGGCAUGGUGAUGCAGGCCUGUAAUCCCAGCACAGAGAAGCUGAGGCAGGAGGAUGGUGAAUUCAAGGCCAGUCUGGGCUACAUAGUGAGUGUGAGGUGACACCUGGAAAGACCCCGGUUCACACAGAUUGAGAACUGCUCCUCAUGAAGAUGAAAUUCCCAGCCUACCCACUCCUGGGACCAGCCAACUGAUGCACUUCUCAAAUGGUUGAUAAUUGUUUGGGCACAGGUGGUGCGGGUUUUUGUGCAUAAGCAGCCACCCUCUUCUGAUGGACAUUCUUUACAUACUUGCAAUAAUACAUUGGGCCAAUCCCUUUAAAUGCUAAGUACAAAAUCAGUAACAAAAUAAAAGCAGUUUUUCUGGAGGGGAGUCACAGCUUUUAUCUGACUCCCAGCAAUGGAUUUGUUACCUAAACAGACUGAGGAACCAUUGAUGUAAAUAAAGCCAUGCCCUGCCUGCCUGGUUCCUGCUUUUGUGAAUGACUUUUCUAUGU